rnacentral:rRNA from 1 species
AUUGAACGCUGGCGGCAUGCCUUACACAUGCAAGUCGAACGGCAGCACGGGAGCAAUCCUGGUGGCGAGUGGCGAACGGGUGAGUAAUAUAUCGGAACGUGCCCAGUCGUGGGGGAUAACGUAGCGAAAGCUACGCUAAUACCGCAUACGAUCUAUGGAUGAAAGCGGGGGAUCGCAAGACCUCGCGCGAUUGGAGCGGCCGAUAUCAGAUUAGGUAGUUGGUGAGGUAAAGGCUCACCAAGCCGACGAUCUGUAGCUGGUCUGAGAGGACGACCAGCCACACUGGGACUGAGACACGGCCCAGACUCCUACGGGAGGCAGCAGUGGGGGAAUUUUUGGGAC